rnacentral:rRNA from 1 species
GAUGAACGCUGGCGGCGUGCUUAACACAUGCAAGUCGAACGGAAAGGCCCAAGCUUGCUUGUGUACUCGAGUGGCGAACGGGUGAGUAACACGUGGGUGAUCUGCCCUGCACUUCGGGAUAAUCCUGGGAAACUGGGUCUAAUACCGGAUAGGUCGAUGGUUUGGAUUCCUUUUUGGAAAGUUUUUUCGGUGUGGGAUGAGCUCGCGGCCUAUCAGCUUUUUGGUGGGGUAAUGGCCUACCAAGGCGUCGACGGGUAGGCGGCCGGAGAGGGUGUACGGGCACAUUGGGACGGAGAUACGGCCCAGACUCCUACGGGAGGCAGCAGUGGGGAAUAUUGCACAAUGGGCGCAAGCCUGAUGCAGCGACGCCGCGUGGGGGAGGACGGCCUCCGGGUUGUAAACUCCUUUCGCUAGGGACGAAGCGUUUUUGUGAGGGUACCUGGAGAAGAAGCACCGGCUAACUACGUG